GAUUUGGUGGAAGAGUUCUCCUAGUUAUAUCGUCCAAUUCAGAAUCGUCUGCAAACGAUGGAACGCUCUCUUCCAGGACAAGGGCUUUCAUCAACAACCAGAAGAUGACGUUUCAAUUCAUUUGACCUAAGAUUUAUUUGGUGGAGAAGGAUGCAUGUAAUUUGACUCGGUAAUUUAAAUAAAAGACCGCCACUGAUCCAGGUAAGUUAUCACUACGACUCAUUUCUUAAUACAAAUCAUUUUGUUCGAAUAGUACUUCUCCCAUUUUAUUG